rnacentral:rRNA from 1 species
GACGAACGCUGGCGGCGUGCCUAAUACAUGCAAGUAGGACGCAGUUGCGAACGGGUGAGUAACGCGUAGGUAACUGCCUAUUAGAGGGGGAUAACUAUUGGAAACGAUAGCUAAUACCGCAUACUAGUAGAUGGACCUGCGUUGUAUUAGCUAGUAGGUAGGGUAAUGGCCUACCUAGGCGACGAGACAUAGCCGACCUUAGAGGUUGAGCGGCCAAACUGGGAAUGAGACACGGCUCAGACUCCUACGGGAGGCAGCAGUAGGGAAGCUUCGGCAAUGGGGGGAACCCUGACCGAGCACCGCCGCGGGAGUGAAGAAGGUUUUCGGAUCGUAAAGCUCUGUUGUUAAGGAAGCGGUACUUAACCAGAAAGGGACGGCUAACUACGUGCCAGCAGCCGCGGUAAUUC